CCUACGUGAGGCAGCAGUGAGGAAUAUUUGUCAAUGGGCGCGAGCCUGAACCAGCCAAGUAGCGUGCAUGAUGACUGCCCUACGGGUUGGAAAUUUCUUUUAUAAAGGAAUAAAGUGAGGCACGUGUUCCUUUUUGUAUGUAUUUUAUGAAUAAGGAUCGGCUAACUCCGUGCCAGCAGCCGCGGUAAUACGGAGGAUCCGAGUGUUAUCCGGAUUUAUUGGGUUUAACGGGAGCGUAGAUGGGUUGUUAAGUCAGUUGUGAAAGUUUGCGGCUCAACAGUAAAAUUGCAAUUGAUACUGGCAGUCUUGAGUACAGUUGAGGUAGGCGGAAUUCGUGGUGUAGCAGUGAGAUGCUUAGAUAUCACGAAGAACUCCGAUUGCGAAGGCAGCUUACUAAAAUGCCACUGACAUUGAUGCUCGAAAGUGUGGGUAUCAAACAGGAUUAGAUACCCUGGUAGUC
rnacentral:rRNA from 1 species